rnacentral:lncRNA from 10 species
AGCUGGUAUCGUCUGCCAAGCUCUGCACGGUGCUGUGGACACAGGCAGUGAGCCAAUGAGCCCCUGUUCUUACGCCAGUCAUGUAGAAGGCGGAAAAGUGAAGCGGGGACAGCAGUGUUAGAGGCCCUGAACUGGCAACAAAGGAGGCACUUUUGGUUUUUCUCAAUGCAGAAUGUGAUACGGCAGCUGUUUCAACAGGACCCCUCUGCAAGACUCCUUCAACCACAUGACGCCUUCACUGCUGUCUGCCCAGACAACUUCAUUGUGUCCACCAGAAGUCAGUAUGACGCAACUUCCCAGAUCACACUGUGAAAGCUGCCGAGGAGCUGAGACUUUGCCUGUCCUCCCUUCAAGACAGUGCACGCCAUAGUGCCUGCUGGGUCCUCGCAUCUGCCCCUGCAAUCCAUCCCUCCUCCUGACCACCAUGGCCCAUCCUCUGUAUUAUCCUUGUGGCAUGAGCCCACACCGCUGGGACGUGAGAUCUGUUGAAUACAUUUAUCUUUGUGUGUAUAGCCCCAUUUAGGCGCUGUGGGGCAGGAACUAAAUGAGGUAUCUUUUGGCAUCUCAAAAUAAAACCCAACACCUUGGA